UGACUGGGGUGAAGUCGUAACAAGGUAGCCGUAGGGGAACCUGCGGCUGGAUCACCUCCUUAAUCGACGACAUCAGCCUGCUGAUGAGCUCCCACACGAAUUGCUUGAUUCAUUGUCGAAGACGAUCAAGACCCUAUAUAGGUCUGUAGCUCAGUUGGUUAGAGCGCACCCCUGAUAANGGUGAGGUCGGCAGUUCAAAUCUGCCCAGACCUACCAAUAUGCGGGGCCAUAGCUCAGCUGGGAGAGCGCCUGCCUUGCACGCAGGAGGUCAGCGGAUCGAUCCCGCUUGGCUCCACCACUUGCUGUACCUUGAUCAAACUCANAAAUGAGCAUUCCCGUCUAAUGUUGAUUUCUGGCUUUUGUCAGAUCGUUCUUUAAAAAUUCGGAUAUGUGAUAGAUAUAGACUGAACACCAGUUUCACUGCUGGUGGAUCAGGCUAANGUAAAAUUUGNGAGUUCUGCUCGAAAGAGCAACUUNCGAAUUUUCGGCGAAUGUCGUCUUCACAGUAUAACCAGAUUGCUUGGGGUUAUAUGGUCACUGAAGAAGCGCAUACGGUGGAUGCCUUGGCAGUCAGAGGCGAUGAAAGAC
rnacentral:misc_RNA from 1 species